CUCAAGGGCAGGCCUUCUUCCAUCGGGAGCAGGGCUCAAAGGAGCAGUCCUCCUGGGCACCUUUCCAUUGGGAGUGUUUGGGGCUUUCCUGGGGCAGCGUCCUCCAUUCUUCUGGCAUGCCCUCCAUUCUGGGCAUGAUUAAGAAGCAGCCCAGAAGGUCUACCUUUGUCUGGCUCAAGGCUGCUAUGGCAUUCUGGGAGUUGGAGUUUGUUGUGGGCCCGGAGCGGAGCGGAGGAAAAAAUGGAGGACAGUCCGGAAAAUGGGUCCCGUGCCCCUGACCCCAGCGAACAUUGGUGUGUGUAUGUGUGCUGUAAAUAAACCAUGCUUACAGAGUGGCCAGGAAGACAUUGGCUGAACCUUCUGCCUCUGAUUGCAGCAGAUAAAUAUCUUCAUUAAACAAAGAGUGGUGACCACAGCUCAGAAAAGGGAAGAAGAUUCAGGCAGAUAGCUAUCAGCUAAAGCUUGCAGGCACCAACCUCCACAAUUCUAUCAUUUCUCUGCUCCAUGUUUCCCUGUUCAUGGAGGUAGAAGACCAGUAAACUACUAUCAGAUGAACAAACAGCCAGAGGGGAAUGCUGGUUUGUUUGGAUGCCAUGAAGUGUUGCUGCUUCUUUUGAUGUUGAAUAAAAUCCUGUCUCCCACCUGACUGCAAUUCUCCACCUCUGUGCUGGGGCUGAAUCCUGGGCUAUUGCAUGUGGAGGAAUGGACUUCAUGAGUCAGUGGACUAUUACAUGCAAAACACUAUGGAGAGAACUGUCAUAUCAUCUCACAGCCUCUCAAAUGCAGUGGUUUUUAAUGACACCUCUUCCCACCUUCAUCUGCUGGUUAUCGAAUGUACAGUCAACAAGUACAGAGAAACUCAGUUGUGCAAAUGAAUGUGUUGGCUGAGCUGAGCUGACAAACAAGUGGGUCUCUGAAAAUUCUUGGCCUUGAUUUGACACUAGGUGAUAGAAACUUUCUGCUUGUGGUGACUAAUUUGUGGAUAAAAGUUACCAUCCAACACUACAACUAAUGAGUUCUAAAUAUGUAUGAAGAAGAUAAGGAAUGCUUAUUAUUUAUCCUUGUCCUUAUUGACAAUGUGAACUAAAACUUAAACUCUUAACUAGAAAAAAAAAAAUUAGUAGCCUUGAUUCUUAUCAGCUGAAGUUUAUCCAAUAAAAAAAUUACUCUGUGUUCCAGGAAAUUAAACCAGAUGGAAGAAACUCCAGCCCCAGAACAAAACUGGAGAAUUUGCUUGUCAUUGUGCAUUUCCUUAUGCAGCUGAGAGGCUACUUGCAAGACAGGGCAUCUUCACGUUGUAAUGAAUAUAUGAGUAAUUUGCUGUUUGACUCUUUGCAGAUACAACAAACUAUUAGAACUCAAGCAGAUAGGUUGACAUUUAUUGCAGUGACAGAAUCCUAGACAGGAACCUGUCAACCAAUGAGCUUAAGACAUCAGUUUAACUCUGGCAUCUUUAUAAAGUCAAUAACAGCCACAUCAAAGGGCGAUCAUGUCCAACGUGGGCGUCUGCCAAUUGUGUUUUGGACUGCUGCAAUAAGCUAGCCAAUCUAUGGGAUUAGUUUGCUAGGAUGCUUUUUUGACACCCACAUUUCUUCUUAAUUGUCUCCAUGAAGCUGUGGUAGUUAAUGCCAGAUUUAUAGCGCUUCAUAGAUGUCAAAAUGCCCACACACCUUAUGCAAUCUUUGGGUUCCCAGACCUCUUUCACGUUCCCCUUAGCUGGUCCAUCUAAUUAUCCAUUAUCAUGCCUGUAUAUCAUACAUUAUUCAUGAACUUCAAGGUGUAAACAGCUCCUGAUUGAAAAGACAAAAAGACAUCUAAUUACCAUUACAUGUGUGUCUCCCCUCCCCCUUGCAAAUAAAUAAAUAAAUAAAUAAAGUACACCAGCCUUUGGA